AUGAACCGUGGUGUAGGUCACAGACGUGGCUCAGAUCUGGUGUUGCUGUGGCUGUGUUGCAGGCCAGCAGCUACAGCUCUGAUUCGACCCCUAGCCUGGGAACUUCCAUAUGCCAUGGGUUCGACUGUAAAAAGACAAAAUAAAACAAAACAUUUUUAUCGUUAUGUAUUAGCACAACUAAAAAUGAAAUUUGUCCAAAAUAUAAAGAUACACAAACAUAUUUUAUUUUGUAGGUUGUCACUGUAUGGAUAUAUGAUCCAGAAAACGCAGACCCUAAUGAGUUGCUACGGAAUGCAAAUGAACCUUCCCUAACAUGAGAACACAGGUCUUCUGCUUGUUCGGGUGAGACCUAGUGACUAUGCAAAAACAUGUCCAGUAGCCCCAAAGGUAAGUGACACAGGUAGAAGAUCAAAAAAUUUACUAUAGUAAUACAUAAGUGGUAAACUAAAUAAUGCAUAUUAAGGCCAUUCAACACCAGUCCCCUGAUAAGUAGCAACGUUUUGUAAUGCUUUGCUAUAGCGAUAACAUUAUUUUACUUGAUUUUUUUAUUUUUAUUUUUUAUUUUUUGUCUUUUUGCCUUUUCCAGGGCUGCACCCACGGCUUAUGGAGGUUCCCAGGCUAGGGGUCAAAUUGGAGCUGUAGCCGCCAGCCUACAUCAGAGCCAGCCUACACCAGAGCCACAGCAAUGCACCAGAUCCGAGCCACGUCUUCGACCUACACCACAGCUCAUGGCAACGCCGGUUCCUUAACCCACUGAGCAAGGCCAGGGAUCGAACCCGAAAUCUCAUGGUUCCUAGUUGGAUUUGUUAACCACUGAGCCGUGACGGGAGCUCCACAUUAUUUUACUUUAGAUAGAGAAAAUCAGAUUACUGACUUCUGCUAUGAGUUUACCAUCAGAAAUGAGGUAUAUAAAUAUACACAGAGUUAUAAAAUUAUUAGUUUUUGAAAAUAAAUAAAAUUGUGUAGAGGAAAAUUGUAAUUAA
rnacentral:lncRNA from 1 species